GCCGGGGUACCCAAGCGGUUAAGGGGCACGCCUUGAGAGCGUGUGGGCUUUGCCCUCCUGGGUUCGAAUCCCAGCCCCGGCG
rnacentral:tRNA from 2 species